rnacentral:misc_RNA from 1 species
AACGCACAUUGCGCCCCUUGGUAUUCCGAGGGGCAUGCCUGUUCGAGCGUCAUUAUAACCACUCAAGCCUCGGCUUGGUAUUGGGGUUCGCGGUCUCGCGGCCCUUAAAACUAGUGGCGGUGCCAUCUGGCUUCUAAGCGUAGUAAUUCUCUCGCUACAGGGUCUAGGUGGUUACUUGCCAAAACCCCCCUAUUUUCUAUGGUUGACCUCGGAUCAGGUAGGGAUACCCGCUGAACUUAA